rnacentral:rRNA from 1 species
AUACCCUGGUAGUCCACGCCGUAAACSAUGAGUGCUAAGUGUYAGGGGGUUUCCGCCCCUUAGUGCUGCAGCUAACGCAUUAAGCACUCCGCCUGGGGAGUACGGUCGCAAGACUGAAACUCAAAGGAAUUGACGGGGGCCCGCACAAGCGGUGGAGCAUGUGGUUUAAUUCGAAGCAACGCGAASAACCUUACCAGGUCUUGACAUCCCGUUGACCACUGUAGAGAUAUAGUUUCCCCUUCGGGGGCAACGGUGACAGGUGGUGCAUGGUUGUCGUCAGCUCGUGUCGUGAGAUGUUGGGUUAAGUCCCGCAACGAGCGCAACCCUUGAUCUUAGUUGCCAUCAUUUAGUUGGGCACUCUAAGGUGACUGCCGGUGACAAACCGGAGGAAGGUGGGRAUGACGUCAAAUCAUCAUGCCCCUUAUGACCUGGGCUACACACKUGCUACAAUGGACGAUACAAACGGUUGCCAACUCGCGAGAGGGAGCUAAUCCGAUAAAGUCGUUCUCAGUUCGGAUUGUAGGCUGCAACUCGCCUACAUGAAGCCGGAAUCGCUAGUAAUCSCGGAUCAKCAUGCCGCGGUGAAUACGUUCCCGGGCCCUUGUACACACCGCCCGUCACACCACGAGAGUUUGUAACACCCRAAGUCGGUGAGGUAACCUU